rnacentral:tRNA from 1 species
AGAAGUUUAGGAUAAGUAGUCCAAGAGCCUUCAAAGCCCUAAGCAGACAUAAAAGUCUAACUUCUG